rnacentral:rRNA from 1 species
AGCUUGCUCCUGGAUUCAGCGGCGGACGGGUGAGUAAUGCCUAGGAAUCUGCCUGGUAGUGGGGGACAACGUUUCGAAAGGAACGCUAAUACCGCAUACGUCCUACGGGAGAAAGCAGGGGACCUUCGGGCCUUGCGCUAUCAGAUGAGCCUAGGUCGGAUUAGCUAGUUGGUGGGGUAAUGGCUCACCAAGGCGACGAUCCGUAACUGGUCUGAGAGGAUGAUCAGUCACACUGGAACUGAGACACGGUCCAGACUCCUACGGGAGGCAGCAGUGGGGAAUAUUGGACAAUGGGCGAAAGCCUGAUCCAGCCAUGCCGCGUGUGUGAAGAAGGUCUUCGGAUUGUAAAGCACUUUAAGUUGGGAGGAAGGGCAGUAAGCGAAUACCUUGCUGUUUUGACGUUACCGACAGAAUAAGCACCGGCUAACUCUGUGCCAGCAGCCGCGGUAAUACAGAGGGUGCAAGCGUUAAUCGGAAUUACUGGGCGUAAAGCGCGCGUAGGUGGUUUGUUAAGUUGGAUGUGAAAGCCCCGGGCUCAACCUGGGAACUGCAUC